rnacentral:rRNA from 1 species
GACGUAGGGCGCGAGCGUUGUCCGGAUUUAUUGGGCGUAAAGAGCUCGUAGGCGGCUUGUCGCGUCGACCGGGAAAACUUGGGGCUCAACCCCAAGCCUGCGGUCGAUACGGGCAGGCUCGAGUUCGGUAGGGGAGACUGGAAUUCCUGGUGUAGCGGUGAAAUGCGCAGAUAUCAGGAGGAACACCGAUGGCGAAGGCAGGUCUCUGGGCCGAUACUGACGCUGAGGAGCGAAAGCGUGGGGAGCGAACAGG